UCAUAGUUUAAUGCUUAUAAGAGUUAUUUGUUUCCUUUGAUAUUAGAUAUGAUAAUGUAGCAUCAAUUAUUAGAUAUGAUAAUGUAGAUUGAGUUGGAUCCGUAUAUUAAUUUUCAUAUGGCUGAAUCAAUUAUUGUAUCGUAUGGAGGUUAAAUACAUUUGAACGUGUUGGUGAACUCACGCAUCCUGGUCGAAGAUUCAGCAUCGCUUGGUCCCCAGGUCGAUGUCCGGAGUUUUCUAUGUUCAGGAGAGCGUCUCUCGAUCGAUUGGAUAAAAGCGUCGAGGUCGAGCUGGACUAGGGGUCGGGAUGGUCACAUUCGUGCACACAAGUCCUGGGUCGAGAGAUUCCCGACUUAGGUCCCUUGUAGAUUAAGUCAAUUGUUUUUCCUCUUUUUUCGUCUCAUAAUCAGAUGUCGAUCAGGGGCUUUUAUACUGUUGUCCGAGGAUCGGUCGUACGCAGAUUUAGCGUGGCGACCAAUCCCCCCGAGUGACGAGUUCAUACCUUCGUAUGACUAUCGCCUGGUAUACACGGAACGACGCCAUGCAGCGUCGUCCUGAGCUUUCCAGGAUGGGACUUGCCGAGAGGAUGCCUCCCUGUACGGGCUCCGGCUCGACGUGGGAGAAAGACAACCCUUGUGCUAAAUCUGCAGGGGUGUGACGUGACAUGGAUCACAACGUGGCCAAGAUUAGAAAUAUGCCUUAUUAUAACAUUACGUAUAUAUUUUUAUUAUUUAUAUAUCAAAUAACAAUCCUUAUGUUUUAUAUCUUAAUAUCUUUGUCGUCCACUAAAGGGGUAUUAUAUACUAAGCCUAAUCGGUAGGCUGUGCUAAGCCACUUGUCCCAUCACAAUCCAUCCCCAUCGUUGUGCCGCAGGAUUUCAUGUCCCGUCUACGUGUUCCCCAACGCAGUGCAACUCUACGGCCAGCAAUUCAAGAGAUCGCAAGCCAGACGCCGAUGUCACACGACAAAUAACUCUCCACCGCCGCACCAUCACAACCGACAACAAACAACGCAUCGGAUGUUCCCAAGAACCGUUACGAUGGUUGUUAUACUCGGUCUUGUUCAGUUGUAACGGCAGGCCAGCGGCAAAGCAGGCGAGGAGGGGAGAUGGCUUUUGAUGGGACGACGGUGGAGCGGGCGAUACGAGGAGCGAUUCAUUCUCCUUUCUCCUCCUCGAUUCAGGGUCUUGAAUCUUAUACUUCUCAAAAGAAAAAUCGUUUAACAAGCAAGAUCUACUCUUUUAGACAGCAUCGUGUGAUCAAAAUCUCCUUCAACUUCUGAGCAAGUUCCAGCUCGUGUUAUCAUCAACAAUUCAUUUAGCAUGGAAAGUUUACCUGAUUCUUUGUCAAAGUCUCCAUAUGUGAAGCUGAAAGUUGUUGAAGCACUAAGCACGGGACCGUUGGAGCUGGCUAAUUCAGUUCAGAAGCAGCAUGGUGAUCUUGAACAAGAGAUUGGUAGUUACAGAUAUAACAUAGGGCUAGAUCUUUGUACAAUGGAUUUAGAUUCCUCUGUGGAGAAAAGUUCAUCUAUGCCAUCUGUUUUCUCUGAUGAUAUUUCAAAAGAAGCUAUUAGCUUUCACCAACUUCAGGAUGUCAUAUGUCAGGUAUUGUGUUGAUCAAUAUAGUUUCAAUGUAACUUGCUUUUUGUAUCAUAUUAAAUCUUUCUUUAACAUUAAGAGUUCAACUCCUGCAGCCUCAUUAUAUGUGCAUGCUAUGUAUGAAAUGAAGCAACUUAUAUGGAUAUUUUCGUUUGUUUCUGUGAAGUCAGAGGUCACUUUCUUACUGACGGAUAAUCUUGUCGUGUGUGUACAUCAUAGACCUCUCUUUUUCUUGCUCCAAAUUCCACAUUCAUAAGUAGGUUCACCGCAGGAGGUUUUGAUCGCAGUUGAAUCUUAGAACAAAGCUCUGCAUAAGAGACACUUCACACCACUUGGCUAGGAGUGCAGAACCAAGAGGCAGAUUACUCACUGCAAACAGUGGAAAUGUAGAAUGUAGAAGAGUUCAUUGCACAGGAAAAUCAACAAAGCUUGUCGAAUAUAUGAACAUAGAGACCAAGACAAAUCCCAUCCAUCAGUUUGUAGCGCUCCUACCUACGGUAGAUCCUAGGAGGCUGCAGCUAGAUCUGAUGAUGAUGCUAUGUCACUCGAGUCUCAAGCGAUUGUAAGAAUUUCUCCUGGCAUUCAUCUUGCUACAUUAUUAGUUUUUUUCCUGUUCAUCUUGCUCGAGUCUCAAAAGUGUUUGGUUUUUUUCCUGCUAAAUACAUAUGAUUUUGUACGGAUGACAGUAUCGCAACUAGUCAGUGUGCAUGUUGUGGAAGCCUAAUGAUUUGGCAUCACAUGGAGUGGACUUCAUUUAGCUUCGGUUUAUACAGGUACCCGUAGGUCAUCAGGCUCAAGCACUGUAUGUAGAGUAGUAAAAGGUUAUCUGGUAGACCAUUAUGCUGUCAUUUUGGAAUACUUAUCCCUUUUUUAUUUACGAAAACACUUGAGCUGUC